GGCUCAGAUUGAACGCUGGCGGAAUGCUUUACACAUGCAAGUCGAACGGUAGAGGGGGGCAACCCCUUGAGAGUGGCGAACGGGUGAGUAAUAUAUCGGAACGUGCCCAGUCGUGGGGGAUAACGUAGCGAAAGCUACGCUAAUACCGCAUACGAUCUACGGAUGAAAGCGGGGGAUCGCAAGACCUCGCGCGAUUGGAGCGGCCGAUAUCAGAUUAGGUAGUUGGUGAGGUAAAGGCUCACCAAGCCGACGAUCUGUAGCUGGUCUGAGAGGACGACCAGCCACACUGGGACUGAGACACGGCCCAGACUCCUACGGGAGGCAGCAGUGGGGAAUUUUGGACAAUGGGCGCAAGCCUGAUCCAGCAAUGCCGCGUGCAGGAUGAAGGCCUUCGGGUUGUAAACUGCUUUUGUACGGAACGAAACGGUGAGCUCUAAUACAGUUUGCUAAUGACGGUACCGUAAGAAUAAGCACCGGCUAACUACGUG
rnacentral:rRNA from 1 species